GACUCUAAGCGGUGGAUCACUCGGUUCUCGGGUCGAUGAAGAACGCAGCCAGCUGCGAGACUUGGUGUGAAUUGCAGACACACUGAGCACUUACUCUUUGAACGCACAUUGCGGCCUCGGGCUUCCCGUGGCUUCGUCUGUGUGA
rnacentral:rRNA from 1 species